CUGCGGCCUAUCAGGUAGUUGGCGGGGUAAUAGCCCACCAAGCCUAUGACGGGUAUCCGGCCUGAAAGGGUGAACGGACACACUGGAACUGAGACACGGUCCAGACUCCUACGGGAGGCAGCAGUGGGGAAUUUUGGACAAUGGGGGAAACCCUGAUCCAGCGACGCCGCGUGGAGGACGAAGGUCUUCGGAUUGUAAACUCCUUUUAGAGGGGAAGAAUAAAUUGACGGUACCCUCAGAAAAAGCCACGGCUAACUUCGUGCCAGCAGCCGCGGUAAUACGAAGGUGGCGAGCGUUACUCGGAAUUACUAGGCGUAAAGCGUAUGUAGGCGGUCAGAUAAGUCUCCAGUGAAAUUUCCCGGCUCAACCGGGACAGGCCUGGGGAUACUGUUUGGCUUGAGUGUGGCAGGGGUAGACGGAAUUCCUGGUGUAGCGGUGAAAUGCGUAGAUAUCAGGAGGAACACCGAUGGCGAAAGCAGUCUACUGGGCCAAUACUGACGCUAAUGUACGAAAGCUAGGGUAGCAAACAGGAUUAGAUACCCUGGUAGUCCUAGCUGUAAACGAUGUUCACUAGAUGCGGGAGGUAUCGACCCCUUCCGCGUCGACGCUAACGCAUUAAGUGAACCGCCUGGGGAGUACGGCCGCAAGGUUGAAACUCAAAGGAAUUGACGGGGGCCCGCACAAGCGGUGGAGUAUGUGGUUUAAUUCGACGCAACGCGAAAAACCUUACCUGGGCUUGAACUGCUAAUGGUAAAAACCGGAAACGGCAAUGACCCGCAAGGGAGUUAGCAGAGGUGCUGCAUGGCUGUCGUCAGCUCGUGUCGUGAGAUGUUGGGUUAAGUCCCGCAACGAGCGCAACCCUUAUCCCAUGUUACCCGUAGCAAUACGGGGUCUCUGAGGAAACUGCCAUUGAUAAAAUGGAGGAAGGUGGGGACGACGUCAAGUCAUCAUGGCCUUUAUGUCCAGGGCUACACACGUACUACAAUGGUCGGUACAGAGGGCAGCGAGAUCGCAAGAUGGAGCAAAUCCCUAAAAGCCGGCCUCAGUUCAGAUUGUGGGCUGCAAUUCGCCCACAUGAAGUAGGAAUCGCUAGUAAUCGCAGAUCAGCA
rnacentral:rRNA from 1 species